rnacentral:misc_RNA from 1 species
GAAAUGCGAUAAGUAAUGUGAAUUGCAGAAUUCAGUGAAUCAUCGAAUCUUUGAACGCACCUUGCGCUCCUUGGUAUUCCUUGGAGCAUGCCUGUUUGAGUAUCAUGAAAUCUUCAAAGUAAAUCUUUUGUUAACUCAAUUGGUUUCUACUUUGGUAUUGGAGGUCUUUGCAGCUUCACACCUGCUCCUCUUUGUUCAUUAGCUGGAUCUCAGUGUUAUGCUUGGUUCCACUCGGCGUGAUAAGUUAUCUAUCGCUGAGGACACUGUAAAAGGUGGCCAAGGUAAAUGCAGAUGAACCGCUUCUAAUAGUCCAUUGACUUGAAAAAUAAUUUUAUGAUCUGAUCUCAAAUCAGGUAGGACUACCCGCUGAACUUAAGC